UUUUUCAUGGCAGGCAUUGUGUUCAACUUAAGAAAUGAACGCAUGAAGAAUAGCCUUUGUUUGCAUUCUGGUAACUGCCUGAGGCUUUGGCUGAGGACAGCUUUCAGCUGCACCUGACUAGGCUGGAUUUGUCUCCUGCUCUCCAUAGGCAGAGAAGUGCGUCCAGGCAGUUUGGAGAACUGCUGGCUCAGGCUUCACCUCCACUAAUCCAAGUUCAGUCACUUUCCUCUGAAGAACCUGCAUCAAGCCGUGGUUUUAAGCUGCAGAUGGAGUUCUUCUCGCAGGACUGAAGUGCUGAAGCUCUCUGAGCUCCGAAGGCACCCUGAACUCAUGAGGCUUUUUCUUGGUUGGCAACGUGCUUAAAAAAGAAAGAAAUGCAAAUGGGCAUUUCCACGUGACUGUAUUCUGCUCAGUGCAGUGUCUGCCUGUGUUGCAGACUGAGCUCCGUGGCAUUGCAAAGAAUGCACCAAAGUAAGUAGUGCAGGAGAGCAUUUUUUCCAGUUAGAAUGUUGGCCUUCCAAAGCAGGCCUGCCUUGGUUGCACUGGCUUGCAUCUCAGCUGGUGUUCUGUUGUCAGGGUUCCCGUAUUUCUAGCGGUUGUCAGGGCGGUGGCUCAUGACAUCGUAAGGCCGUGGCGAUGUGACGGUAAGAAUGUCCCAUGUCAAGUACAAGAUGGCUGUGUGGGACGAGGGGAAGCCAUGGCCUGACAGCUGCCCUUCUGGUCAGCAGUGGAAUUCUGCGGGGUCCAUUAGAAGGCCAUUUCUCUGUAAUGCUUUCUCUGUUGGUUCCAGUCAAGAUGUGGCCGUUGUAUGAAGUAAGUUUGUGGUUGCUGUGAAGCUGGGAGGAAUGUUGACUGCCUUGGGGUUGAGAGGCCUUGCAGCAAGAUGUGGAGAAAUGUGAGGGUGGUCCCCAUCUGCACGAAGAAGAGCAAGCGCUGCGUUCUGCACCUGGGAUGCGGCAGCCCUGGCUGUACGUACAGCGUGGGGGGGGCGAGGGGCUGGAGAUCAGCCCUGCCAAAAGGGAGGGAUCUGGGCGUUGUGGUUGCUGACAACUUGAAUCUGAGCUGGCAGUGUGCCCUGGGCACAGGGUUUGAGUUUGGGUGGUCCUUUGGGGAGCCAGGGGUUGGACUUGAUGGUCCCUGUGUCCUUUAAGAAGGCCGAAUAGUCUUUCAGUGAUUGUUCUGGGCAGCUCACACCACUGGGUGUAUAAUUCAUUUCACUUGGAAUUUCAGGGUCAGACAUAAAUGUUAUUAUCUGCUUUAGAGAAAGAAGUGGGAGGCUGAACUGAUAUUUGGAAAAAUGAAAAAUGUUUAAAAUGUUUUUUGCAAGAUAAGCCCUCAGCAAACAGUCGUCCUGUUCCACUUUUGGCCAGUCUCAGAUGCUUGUCUUCCAGAAUGUCUGCGUGUGGAUGAAUCACAACAGGAUCCUGGGAACUUUUAAGAAAGGAAAGAUUGCUUCACGUGUAAUGAAAAGCUAGUGUCCAGAAGAUCACUGCGGCCAGAUGCCAAUUUUGAUGCCCUCGUCAGUAAGACUUGUCCAAGCCCUGAUGUAUGUGAAACUCAUCAGGAGGGAAUGCUGGCAAGAAUCAGCUAACACAGUAGCAGCAAGCUUUCAGUGACAGCGUUAAGGAAGGGUGACGAUUCAGGCUGGGAGCAGGUAUGUCAUCACCUGACUUGACCACAUGUAACUUGAUGCUAGAAAUACACCACGUCCUCCCUCCCUGCAUGGCAAGAGAUGGCUCUCUUCUCCUGCAAAGGCAGCCGAAGUAACUUCUGUGUGCUGACUAGAGAGAGAAAACUUGGUGUCACUCCUUGCAAGUCCUGUGGCAGCCAGAUAUUGUGUGAUGAGAGUUGCUGUCUAUUUACUGUGUUUGGUUUCUUUGCUUUGCCAUGCUGUACACGAGUAAAGGAAAUGAAUGGAAUACGA